CUACGUGCCAGCAGCCGCGGUAAUACGGAAGGUCCAGGCGUUAUCCGGAUUUAUUGGGUUUAAAGGGAGCGUAGGCUGGAGAUUAAGUGUGUUGUGAAAUGUAGACGCUCAACGUCUGAAUUGCAGCGCAUACUGGUUUCCUUGAGUACGCACAACGUUGGCGGAAUUCGUCGUGUAGCGGUGAAAUGCUUAGAUAUGACGAAGAGCUCCGAUUGCGAAGGCAGCUGACGGGAGCGCAACUGACGCUGAAGCUCGAAGGUGCGGGUAUCGAACAGGAUUAGAUACCCUGGUAGUCCGCACAGUAAACGAUGGAUGCCCGCUGUUGGUACCUGGUAUCAGCGGCUAAGCGAAAGCAUUAAGCAUCCCACCUGGGGAGUACGCCGGCAACGGUGAAACUCAAAGGAAUUGACGGGGGCCCGCACAAGCGGAGGAACAUGUGGUUUAAUUCGAUGAUACGCGAGGAACCUUACCCGGGCUUGAAUUGCAGAGGAAGGAUUUAGAGAUA
rnacentral:rRNA from 1 species